rnacentral:rRNA from 1 species
AUUGAACGCUGGCGGCAGGCCUAACACAUGCAAGUCGAGCGAGCGGCGGACGGGUGAGUAAUGUAUGGGGACUGCCCGAUAGAGGGGGAUAACUACUGGAAACGGUGGCUAAUACCGCAUACUAUCGGAUAACCCAUAUGGGAUUAGCUAGUAGGUAAGGUAAUGGCUUACCUAGGCGACGCACCCUAGCUGGUCUGAGAGGAUGAUCAGCCACACGUGGACGUAGACACGGCCCAGACGCCUACGGAGGCAGCAGGGGGGAAUAUUGCACAAUGGGCGCAAGCCUGAUGCAGCCAUGCCGCGUGUAUGAAGAAGGCCCUAGGGUUGUAAAGUACUUUCAUUCGGGAGGCGUUACCGACAGAAGAAGCACCGGCUAACUCCGUGCCAGCAGCCGCGGUAAUAC